GUUCUUGCUUCGGCAGUACAUGUACUAAAAUUGGAACAAUACAGAGAAGAUGAGCACAGCCCCUGUGCAAGGAUGACAUGCAAAUUCGUGAAGCAUUCUGUAUUUUU
rnacentral:snRNA from 1 species